CAAUAAAAUAUAACAGAUCUCAGACUUACAAAUAUUUCAGCUCCUCCAAAUCAGCACUAUUUCUAGCAACUUGAGAGCAAGAAAACCACACCUAAACAUGCUUUUCUAUUGCAACCAAAAAUAUCAGGGGCUAGUCUAAACAACCAAGAACAACUCCCUAGUUGACAACUCUGUCAAACGACGCACGAAAUAAAUCCUACAAAUUAAACAAAAG
rnacentral:lncRNA from 1 species